ACACGUGGUAUCCUGUCUGAAUAUGGGGGGACCAUCCUCCAAGGCUAAAUACUCCUGACUGACCGAUAGUGAACCAGUACCGUGAGGGAAAGGCGAAAAGAACCCCGGCGAGGGGAGUGAAAAAGAACCUGAAACCGUGUACGUACAAGCAGUGGGAGCACCUUCGGGUGUGACUGCGUACCUUUUGUAUAAUGGGUCAGCGACUUAUAUUCUGUAGCAAGGUUAACCGUAUAGGGGAGCCGAAGGGAAACCGAGUCUUAACUGG
rnacentral:rRNA from 1 species